ACACACACACACACAUAUAUAUAUAUACAUACACACACGUGUGUGUGUAUGGUGUUAUAAUAAUAAUUGUUCAAUCUCUAACACCCACAUGGACAGCCCAAAACUGUCUGUAACUCCAGUUCCAAUGCAUCUGAUAUCCUCACACCAAUGUACAUAGUGUUUAUAUAUAUAUAUAAGUUGACUAUUUUUUAAAUAUGCACUAUGUAUGAUUUGUAGAAUGGUAGAAUAUGCAGUAUCUCAUCCAAAAUAACAUUAAAUGUCAGGAUAAUCAUUUGAGUGCAACAUUUGCACUUUUGUUUACUAAAUAGUAAUUUUGAGCUCAUAUUUUUGGUAAUGUAUCAUUAAAGAAAUAUUGCAAAAAUACAAAACAAAAAAACCCAAAAAGUGCCUAGUUGUUCUAGUUUCCUUACUCUUCUUAUGAUAAAUACUCUGACCAAAAAUAACUCGGGAGGAGAGGGUUUGUUUGGCUUACUCUUCCAGGUCGUAGUCUCUCACUGAAGGAAGUCAGAGCAGGAGCUCGAGGCAAGAACCAUGAGGAACCAUGAGUGCUGUCAAAGCCUCAUGCAUAGUUAGCCUUUACCCAGAAUGCAGACCGCCUGCCUGGGGAUGAUACCACCCUCAGUUAGCUGGGUUCUCUCACGUCAAUCAGGAUAAUCCUCCAGAGACAUGUCCACUGACCAGUCUGAUCUAGACAGUUUCUCAGUUGAGGCUCUCUUGUCAGAAGACUGUAAAGCUGUGUCAAGGUGAGAAAGAAGGCUAACUAGGGCACUAAUGCAUUCGCCUCUCCAUUUUGAAGGAUCAUCAUCACUAUUAUUACAGUUGCUUCAGCUUGCUUUCACCCACAGCUACAUGCUCAGCUUUCAAUUUUGGAAUGCUAAUAGUAUGGGAUAUGCCAUUUUCGGUGUGAGUGGGUGGAGAGCCCCCACAGGUUGUAUUCAGGUUUUAGAUUUUCUCCACUGAAGUGUUAGUACCACCGGAGGGUCAGGGCUUGGUGAAAUGGGAAGCUUAUUAGCUUGCCUGUUACUAUGCAGGUAAAUAUGGUUAGCUUUAAAGCCAAAUGAGACUGCUUCUCUUAGUUACCUUGCCAUUGUUCUCUGAGUUCCUCCUCUAAUGGUUUAAUGACAUCAAAUAGACCAGACAAUGCAGGGCUCUGUCAGUCUCAUUUUUUAAAAGUCUGCUUCUUCAUGUCUCUCAUCUUUACAUUCUCAUCUGCUCUUUCAAGACAAAUAUCUUUAAAGAGGCAGGAAAAUAGAUUUGCACACUAGAGCAUCAGGAAGGAAACCAUCAGAGCCCCGGGACAUAAAACCUGGAAUCAUAAUGGAAUUGUGAAUGAAAGGACUAGAAAAUAAAGUUGCCAGGGUUUGAGGCACAGCAUAAUUCUCCGUCUUUCUUUUUUAUGAUUUAGUGGGUUUUGUUUUAUGUGUAUGAGUGUUUUAUCUGCAUUUAUAUAAAUGCACCUUAUGUGUGCAGUGUCCGUACUAGCCAGAAAGGGUGUCAGAUCUCCUGGAACUGGAGUUACAGAACACUGUGAGCUGCCAAUUGAUGCGGGUAGCGCUGUUCUUCUUCUGUAGGGACAGCGAAUGUUCUUUAUUGUAUUUUAUGUACGUUUGUGUGAGGAUGUUGGAUCUCGUGGAACAAGAGUUACAGAGAGUUGUGAGCUGCCAUGUGGGUGCUGAGAAUUGAACCCUGGGUACUCUAGAAGAGCAGUCAGUGCUCUUAACCGCUGAGCCAUCUCUCCAACCCCAUAAAUAUUUUUAACUACUCUCCAGCCCGAGUUCUGGGCUGUUUCUGUCAUCUUUCAUGGUCUAAUUCCUUUGCUGCUUGCUCUGGCUCAAAGAUUUAUUAAUUAUUAUACAUAAGUACACUCUAGCUGACUUCUGAAACACCAGAAGAGGGCAUCAGAUCUCAUUACCAGUGGUUGUGAGCCACCAUGUGGUUUCUGGGAUUUGAACUCAGGACCUUUGGAAGAGCAGUCUGCACUCUUACCCGCUGAACCAUCUCACCAACCCAACAUUCCAUUUUCUUAGAGGAGAAGCUUCCAGUUUGCUUCCAGUUCUCUGAGUUCAGGAUAAAAUAUUGGGAGUAAGUCCACUGAAGGGAAUAUGGUAGGAGUCCCUAUGACUAUCUUGGCGUUCAGACUCAUAAGAGGACUUGUGGGACUCUAAUACACUCCUGUUCUUAGCUAGGAUGUUUAACAGUAAAAGGAUGAGGAGAAAAUGUGGC
rnacentral:lncRNA from 1 species